rnacentral:lncRNA from 1 species
UUCAACUGGAGUGUCAACAGUCUUGCUGUCAGUGAGUCCAGCUUGAGACAAUAGGUCAGAAGCAUACUUGGCUUGAGUAAUAUAAAGACCAUCUGUGGAAUGAGUAAUUUCAAGACCCAAGAAAUAACUGAGAUGUCUAAGAUCUUUCAUCUCAAACUGCUGACUGAGAAAAUCCUUGAGUUCUUGAAUGCCACUAAGGUCAUCACCAGUUAUGAUCAUAUCAUCCACAUAUAGAAGAAGCAAAAUAGUGCCUUUAUCAGUACGACGAAGAAAUAAGGCAGAAUCAUACGGACUGGCAGUGUAACCCAAGCGAAAAAUAGUGGAGCUGAACUUGGCAAACCAAGCUCGUGGGGCUUGUUUAAGACCAUAAAGUGCACGUCGAAGAUGACAAACCUUGUUUGAUUCAACAGAGAGACCAGGAGGAGGUUGCAUAUAGACUUCUUCACUCAGAUCCCCAUUAAGGAAAACAUUUUUAACAUCCAUCUGAAAAAAAUCCCAUUUACGAGCAGCAGCAACAGCUAAGAGAGCACGAAUAGAUGAGAUACGAGCAACUGGAGCAAAAGUCUCUUCAUAAUCAAUCCCAUACUCUUGUGUAAAACCUUUGGCAACAAGACGAGCCUUGUAGCGCUCGACGGAUCCAUCAGAGCGAGUCUUGAUCUUAUAGAUCCACUUACAACCAACCACAGAUUGUCCAGGAAGGAGAGUAACCAGGUCCCAAGUAUGGUUUUUGGUUAAUGCAUCAAGUUCCUCUUUCAUUGCAAUUUACCAUAAAGAGUCAGUAGAGACCUCACGAUAGGUUUGAGGCUCGUGAAGUGUAGCAAGGGUAGUGUAACAAUGAUAGUCAAGGAGGUGUGGAGGAAUGGAUCUUACCCGGGUUGAGUGGCGAGGUGGAAUGUCUUGUGGAGGAUCUUCAGGCAGAGCAGGAGCAGGGGACCCAGGCUCAAAGUGGGGUAGCUCGUCAUCAAUCUGUUCAUCUGCAACCUGUCUAAGAGAAGCAUCAAAGAUAUCUGGAGAGAAGUCCAAAGGAGGAUCAAAAGUAUUUGUAGAAGGAACAAGAGACUCAUCUGGAAAGAUUUCUAAAACAGAGGAGUUAGUCAAGGAAGAACGAAAGUGAGAGAAUUCAACAAACAAUCGAUGUUCCCAAAAGACAACAUUAGGAGAAACACGAAGACGAUGAGAGACGGAUCAUAACACCUAUACCCCUUUUGAGUUUCGCCAUAACCAAGGAAACAACAGAGUCUAGAUCGAGACUCAAGUUUGUUGUGCUCAUGAGGCUGAAGAAGAACGAAACAAGCAGAUCCAAAUGAGCGAAGGUGAUGAUAGUCAGGGGGUGACCCAAAGAGACGCUCAUACGGAGUCUAAUUAUGGAUGACAGCACUUGGAAUGCGGUCAAUUGCAUGAACAACAUGAAGACUAGCUUCACCCCAAAAUGGGGCAGGAACUUUGGCAGAAAAAAGUAGAACACGAAUAGUGUCAAGAAUAUGACGAAGUUUUCUUUCGACUCGACCAUUUUGCUGAGAGGUACCUGGACAAGUUAGAUGAUGUAUAGUGCCAUAGGAAUGUAACAGAGCUUGAAACGCAUAUUGAGUAUAUUCAAGAGCAUUAUCAGAUCGAAAAGUUUUGAUACGUUUGGAGAAUUGAGUUUCAACCAUUUUUGCAAAAUUGCUAUAUAUUGGUAAAAUUUCGGAACGAGAUUUCAUAGGAAAAAUCCAACUAUAACGAGAAUAUUCAUCAAUAAAAACAACAAAAUAUCGAGAUCCACCAAUACUAGCAACAGGAGAAGGUCCCCAAACAUCAAAAUGAAUUAACUCAAAAAUACUAUUAGAAAUGGAUUCACUGUUAUUAAAAGGCAAAGUUGGCUGUUUUCCUAACUGACAUGAAGUGCAAUCAAAAUUGUCUUUAGACACAGAACCCAACAGACCCCUAGACACUAACUGUUGUACCCGAGAAGAUGGUGCAUGACCAAGACGAGAAUGCCAAAGUGCAAGAGAAGGUAAGGAAAAAACUACAGCCGCUGCAGCAGCAACAAAAACAGGAGCAACAGCUGGAAGAUGAAGAUUGUUCACGGGAAACAUACGCCCAACUCUAGGACCGGUCCCAAGCUCCUGCCCCGUCCUCGGAUCCUGCAUAAUACACCCAGGAUAGUAAAAAAUAAGGCGAUAACCUAGUUCAGCUAAUUGUCCCACAGAGCACGAAUUAUAGGAUAGAGCAGGUACGUGGAAGACUCUAGGAACAGAAAGAUUAGAGGUUGAAACAAAACCUAGACUAUUUCCAUGCAUGGUGAAACCAUCAGCUAUAUGAAUAUUUAGAGGAUGUGGUGUAGGGUCAAGGUUGGAGAACAGGGAUGAGUGAGGUGUCAUGUGAUUGCAGCAAACAGAAUCAAAAAGCCAAGUUUGAGACUUAUCAGGUAGAACAGAUAAGGCAGUGGAAAGAGAUGCAUUACCAGCCAUACGAACAGCUUGAGCUAUGAUCUCCUGUAGUUCAGUGGAGGAGAGGUUGAUAGUAGAUCCAGAAGACUGGGACUCAACUGAGAUGGAUGUCGUUGGCGGAGUAGGCUCAGUAUUAGCAACAGCAGCAGUAGAUUUGUUACGACGGUAACAAGUCUCAAUGGUGUGGCCAGGACGCUUGCAAUAGUUGCAGAACUUUUUGUUGGUCUGCUUGCGAUGAUUGCUAGAGCCAGAAAAAUCACCUAAUUGCUAAGGUUGCUCUAUGAGUGGAGUAGAUGGAGUAAUAGCCAAAACAUUGAGCUUAUUCUAGGCUUGAAGGGUUGCAAGACGAGCUUCUUCUCUAACUAACUCAUUCACAACAGUAUCAAGAAAGGGAGCAGGACUGCGAUUUAGCAGCUGACCACGAAUGGGCUCAAAGUCCUUGUGAAGUGACAUCAAGAAUUCAUAGAGGCGAAAUUCAUCUCUGAUGGAAGCAUAUUGCUGAGCAUCUUUUGAGCAUGCCCAAGUUGGAUCAGAAAGGUCAAUUUAGUCCCAAAUGAAGCGAAGCUGAUCAUAAUAGUCAUUGAUGGAUUGCCCCGGUUCUUGCCUGAGUUGAUGCAAUUCAACCACUAACUGAUAUUUCAUGGAUCCAUGAGUAGUGGAGUACCUUUUGGUCAACAUAUCCCAUGCAGAUUUUGCAUCGUCAAAGCUGCCCAAUAGAUUGGAAAUAGAGGGAAUGGAAGUGUUCCGGAUCCAUGUGAGGAUCAUGUGGUUAUGACUAUCCCAUUCAAUCAUGCGACUAAGAAAGACAACAUCUUCUUCACUUGCUCCCUUGACAGGAAUAGUCAUUGCACCAGUACAAUAAUGUCAGGGCAUGCGACUCUUAAGAAAACUGCGCAUAGCUUGAGACCAAGAUAAGUAAUUUUUAUUCCCCUCCAAUACAGUAUUGAUGGGGCGAGGAAGAAAAACAUCUUUUUUAUCCAUUUAGAGACACAAUAUGCAAAAACAGACUGCAAAAAUGAAAUCUACACGAAAAACUGGGUAAGGAGAACCUGGACAGAAAAUGUCAAUUGGGGAAAGUCAAUGGUCAAAGUCAACGGUCAACAGUUGGUCAACAGUCAACGGUCAACGGAUGAAGCCACAGGAUGACGUGGAGAUGACGUCAGCAGAUCAGUGGAUGCUGACGCAGCUAGGGCUAACGUGGCAGAGAUGAUGACGUCAGCAAACCAGGCCCCGACGCGUGGCAGCGCAUGGAGGCACGUGAUCAGCGUCGCAGAAUCUUUGAGCGGCGCGUGCGGUCUCCGAUGGCGGCGAGGGUUCCACGAAUGUGUAGAUCGACACUGGACGAUCUCAAUGGUACUUUCAAAAAUGAAAUCCGAGCAAUAUUCGCAGCGGUGAUGCAAAGAGCAGUGGUCUGUGCAGUGUGAAACUCCUUAACGAUGGCGGCUGCAGGUCCGGAACCCAAGGACGACGGCUGGAUGACAUCGGAGGUUCAACGGCAAGAGGCUGCGGCGACAGUUGUGAUGGCGGAAGCGUUUAGUGAAAGAAAGGAAGUCACACUAAUGAAGACAAGAUUGCCAAGAAAAGGUCAGAGCAGUGGCUCUGAUACCAUGUUAGAAAUAUGGAAUAAUUGUAUUCUAUUUCUUAAUUAAAGAAUAUACAUCAGUGCCUUUAUAUAGGAGGCAUAUGUGUGCGGUACAAGUAAUAUGUGUGCGGUACAAGUAAAGUGUACUAUACAAGUAACCUAACUGGGCCUAAAGCCCAUAACAUAAUAUACUUUAACAGAUAUAAAAUGUUUGAUAAUUUUAUGAUUAGUAAUGGUUAUCAUAGGAGUGAGUAUGACAAUUAUGUUUAUCACAAGGAGUUGUUUUAUGGUUCUUUCAUUUAUUUAUUGUUAUACAUUGAUGACAUAUUAAUUGCCUAUAAGAAUAUGUUUCAAAUCUAACAUAUUGCAAACUCAACUUCAAGGAGAGUUUGAAAUGAAAGACCUUGGAGUUGCAAAAAAUAUAUUGGGUAUGGAGAUCCAUAAAGAUUGAGAAGUAGGAAAUUUGUGCUUAUAAUAUAAAAAGUACAUUAAGAAAUGAAACGCUUUGGAAUACAAGGGUAAAAACCAGUGAGUACUCUACUAGUAGCUCACUUCAAACUUUCAAGUGCUUUAUCACCAUAGACCAAAGAAAAAAAAGAGCACAUGAGACAUGUUCCUUAUACUAAUGUAGUUAGGAGCAUUAUGUAUGUCAUAGUUUGCACUAGAUAAGAUAUUUCACAUGCAGUUAGUGUGGUAAGUAUAUGAAUUGCCCUAGAAAAAUCCAUUUGUAAGUAGUGAAAUGAAUGUUUGAGAGGAACAUUACAUGUUGGCUUAGUAUAUGAUAAAAGUAGUAACAUCUCUAGGGAAAUUGUUGGUUAUGUUGAUUAAUCUGAUUAUUCUAGAGAUUUGGACAAAAGAAAUUCUCUAACAGGAUAUGUAUUCACUUUAUAUGAUAGUAUUAUUAGUUGGAAAACAACUUUGUAAUAUAUAGUUGUUUUGUCAACCAUUGAAGCAUAAUACAUGGCGACCAUAGAAACAGUAAAAGAAACUAUUUAGUUUAAGGGUUUGGCUAUCUAGGCUUACAACAAGAGUUGAUUAUUGUGUAUUGUGAUAAUAAAAAUGUCAUAAAUUCGACUAAAAGUCAGAUAUUCCAUGAGAGGACCAAACAUAUUAAUGUCAGAAUGUAUUUUAUUAGGGAUGUGAUUGCACAAAGUGCUAUUAGCAUUAUUUCGACUUAAUUGGUGUUAAUAGUAUCUAAAAGCUCAUUCAGGAUGUGGGAACAAAUUAACAUGGAAGACUUUUGAGUUUGUUUGAAUCUUAGGAAGCAAAGGUUGAGAUUGUUGGGUUUUCUAUUAUUAUAAAGAAAAUACCCUAUUGUGAAAUCUUCUUUUAGAAAUAGACAUCUUUAACAAUUAUACUCUUACUUUGCUAUAUGAAAUCUUCUUUAGUAAAUAGAAAAAAAAUAUAUAGGAAGAGAUUUUGAUCAAAAUAGUAAUGGUUUCUUUUUAAGUCUAAUUGGGACUUUGGGAUUUGAGAGUUCAAGGAUUGUAAUCUCCUUCAACAAUAGUGAAAGCUCUUCUUUGUCUUCGCUUGUGGAUGUAGGCUUGAAGUCGAAACCAUGUAAAUUGUUAUAUGUUUUGUGUGUCUUUUUUUCGUUCUCUUAUUCUUUUUCCUCUAUUAUUAUUCUUUGUUGUGUUUUUUUACAAAAAAAAAAUGGUAUCAAAACUUUGAGUUAAAGAUCUUUGAAAGAGCCAGUAAGAAUAGAGCACAUAAGAUGAUGAUAAAAGAAAUUUUAGUUGAACGUGGAGUCGAUUGUUCUAUCAUGGGGAUAUGAUAGAAAAAGCUUGUGUUAUGGAGAAAUGGAAGGUUGACUUGAUAGAAAUUGAUCCAAGGUAGAAAUUGUUAAAAAGUAUCUCAAAUUCCUAUAGACUAAUUUUUGUAAAGAAUAUUGUAUAAAAUAUUUCUUAGUUGAUUUGUUAUUACAAUAUUAAAUUUCCUUAUUAACAUUGUUUGUAUUAAAGAUUCCAUUGACCCAACAUAUGUUGCCCGAAUGGGAAACACUAAGUUUUUUGGUACCAAAAUUGAGAAUUGUUUUCUAUAUUUUUUAUGGUUCAAAUUUAUAUCAAAAUAUUAAUUUCUUUAUUUUUCUUAAAAUAAAAAAAAAAAGUGAAAAAGCGUAAAAACAAAUAUCACAUUGUUUAUCCGUGAAAGUAAAAAAUGUUUGUGAAAAAAUCGUUUUACUUCAACAAACAAGUCCGUAUUUUAGAUAUUUAAAAAAAUGUUAGUAGUAAACAACCUUCAUUUUUAAUCAUUACAGCCUUAAGGAGAAAUGGUUUUAUUAAUUUAUAACAUGUCAUUGAUUUAUUGAAAGUUGACUCAAAUUUGGAAAUGAGAAUAAAAUAGGCCUCCCACAAAUAACAAGUUGCCACCAAUUUGAUAAUCUUGGUCAUUAAAUAAGUGUAUGGUAAAGUCUAGACAGUUGAAUUAUGAUAAUAAAUAUAUGAAAUUAAGGUGGAAUUAAAUAAGAUUAAUAUUACCAAAAAAAAAAUGAGAUCCAUGUAUAAAUUGUACAUAUAAUACGUAAUGAUUGCCCCAUUUUUUUUUUGUAGCUCUUCGAUAGGUGUUGAUCUAGCCGCAUGUAGCAGAAGCAAGUGAAAGAGGGUAUUGAAAAGUGUUGGCAUACUUGAAGGAGAUGGUAGAACCCGCGGCUAAAGGACUUCCACCAUUGACAAGGCAAUCAUCAACAACCUGGCGCUUGAAUAUUUUAGGGUUCACCAGAACUGCCGAAGCAAACAUACCGCAUUUCAAACGGAGAUUGGAGAUGGAGCAGGCUCUGGCGCAUGCAUUCGUGAUCUCCACACUGAAAGACGGUAUCCCACUUGGUAGAGUGCCGACUCUUGACUGUGCAAUCACGAUAUCGCCAUUUGAACAGUUUGUCUCUGCUGCUACCACUGGAAUUAUAUGACAUCACAAACAGAAGGCAAAACAAAAGGAGAGAUCUUCAACUUUAAAUUAUAUUUAAAAGAGAUGAUAAGUUAGAAGAUAUCAAACAAACCAGUAUAAAAUGGAAUCAUCAGAUUAGUGCUGAUGAUGAUGAUGGACAACAUAACUAUAGAGACAUGGCAAAUUGAGAAGACUUUCAUAUUGGGUGUUUGAUCUUUCUUUCUUUCUUUGCAAUUAUUUUAACAUAUACUAUCACAUAUAUAUACCUUCUUAAUAUUCAUAUCCAUAAAUAAAUCAAGCUAAUUAAUAUCCUAGAAUGGCAUUUAUGUUAAACUUUCUAUUCUCAUUUGAUGAAAUCGUUCCCUUCCUCAAUGGCUAAUAUAUUCCAUUCUAUUAAAUAUCUAAAAAUUUUAAUACACAUAUAUAAGAUAUUUUAUAUAUAUAAUAUAUGGUAUCAAAUAUCUUACAUAUAGAAGUAUGAUAGAAUAAAAUAUCUUAUAUAUGUGAUAUUUUAUUCUAUCUUUCUUCUAUAUAUAAGAUACUUGAUACCAUAUGUUAUAUAUAGAAGAAAGAUGGAAUAAAUUUAUAGUUAAUUUACAAUUUACAAUUAUAUAUAAGAUACUUAAUUUAUAGUUAAUUAAAUCAACUUACAAUUUUCUCUUCAUCUUUUAUGCAUUUUCAUAUAUAAAUUAAGCUAAUUAGUAUCAUAGGAUAGCAUUUCUAUUUAUGUUAAGAUUUCCUAUUCUUAUUUGAUCCUCUCCUACAUGCAAGGCUGCAAUUUGGGCGGGUUGGAUUAUGGUUGAUGGCCAACUUAAACCUAAUCCAACCCAAACUUUAACCUAAAUUAAUUACUCAACCCAAUCACAUUUUUUGAAGGUUGGGUUGAUUAAGUUACUCAAGUUAUAUGAUUCACAAUCCAUCUAUAAUUAUUUUAAAAAAAUUAUAUAUUUGUACCAUAAUUUAAAAAGUAAAUAGAACAAUUACAAUUUUAAGAUAAAUACAAAAGUGAAAAUAAAUUUAUAUGUCUUUCUAAAAAAAUGGAAAAGUAUAUGAUAGAAUUAUAAUUUGAUACUCUUCCUAAAAUCUAAAAAGAAAAUAAAUAGAAUAAAUGUUAUUAUAUAAAAUAAUAUAAAUUAUAAAUAUUAUAAAAAUAUUAAAUCAAAUUUAGGUUAAACUCGGAUUGUUCAAACCUUAACUUGAACUCAAUCCAAGUUGAGUUCCGAUUGAAAAAACUCAAUCUCAACCUAACUUUAGUGUUAAAAUUAUUGCCCAAGGUUGUCCAAAGGCUAAGUUGGGUUGUGUUUGACUUGGGUUCAAUCCAUUCAAGUUGGAUUUCUAUAUGCAUGGCCAAUAUAUUCCAUUCUAUUAAAUAUAUCAAAACUUAUAAUUAAGUUAAUAUCACUUUUAAAUAACAUAUAUAAGAUGUUUUAGUCAAUCUUUCUUCUAUAUAUAACAUAUUUGAUGCCAUAUAUUGUAUAGAAGACUUUACACUUUUCACCCUUUUAUGCUAUCAUUUUCUAUAUGUUCAGUUUCCAUAUAUUGAGAACCUCUUCAUUUUUUUUUUCGUAUUCUUAAGAUGAGACAUUAAUCUUUAAUUUGGGAUCUUUAUAGAGUAGUUUAAUUAGAUCUAAAAAAUUUUAGCAUGUGGUUGUGUCUGAUGUAAGGGGUCAGCUAGUGAAAUUAGGAAGUUGAAAUUGAGUCCAAAUCUUAAUUAUUAUGUAUUGAGUAGGAAAUUAGCUUAUAUAGAUCAAUAACAUGGUGUUAUUGACAUGAAUUACUAAGAGAAAAUUAGGAUUUUUUAUAUUCUUUGCUUAUUAUUAUUAUUAUUAUUAUUAUUAUUAUUAAUGAGUUAGAUUAGCUAGCUUAAGUAAGUAGUUUUGUUUUAAACAUUACUAAAUCUACUCUCCGUAUUUUUUUGGGAUUUACACUAACUUAGAAAAUUCUAGAUCAUCAUCAAUUCAUAUUAAGGGUCUUUUAAGGAAGUAUGGUACUUGAGUUUAUUUGUGUGACCAAUUUUAAUUAUGUAUUUUAGAUUCAUUAAAAUAUGAAACAACCAACAAGUUGAAAACACUAGAAAGGAGUACUCAAGUGCCGGAAAGGUGCAUUCAAGUGCUUGAGACUUUUUUCUUUUCAUAUUUUCAUUAUUUUUUAUUUGGUUCAUAUUUUAAAUUUGAUUUUUCUCGUAUCAUUGGCCCAACUUGCUAUGGUUUUAAGACUAUAAACCUACUUACAUGCCCUAGAACAAUAUUAUUAUUAUUCCUUGCAUGUUCCUAACAUUCUCAAGAACCUCAUUCUUGAUCGAGACUUGUUUAUGGAGGUUAACAACAUCCUCUUAUGGCAUUAAAAGGUUUAAUAAGGAGUAUGAGCUUGGUGCUACACACAUGAAGACCAGUGUAGAUGUUGACCAAUAUAACACUCUUGGGAGAAGGUGCUAUCUGGUUUACAUAUAUAUAUAUAUAUAUAUACUUAAAUUCAUAUUUAAUGAAUUCUCUUUGUGCAUAGUUGAUUGGACCAUGGUGUUUUUUUUUUUUUUUUUAAUUGCAAAGUUUCUCAUAGACUCUAGGUGGUUUUCCAUGUACAUCAUGUGUUUAUCAUAUGAUUGGAUUUAUUCUAAAAUCUUGAUAUGUCAUUGAAUAAAGAAAUUUUUAAUCGUAAAAUGAACUCAAAUUUUGGGUAUAAAAUCAAGACUACCUAUUCCCUUCCCCAUGUAGUUUUAGGAAUUAAGAUUUGAACUUUUAGUUAGUGUAAGAGUAAGUUAGAUUUUAAAAUUUUAAAUUUUUAUUCUUAUUUAAUCUUGAUUCAUGAAACUACAGUGAGUGGGAUCAUCCAUAUACAAUUCACCAUACUUUCAUAGAAAUAUUAUCCUAAUUAUGGAAUUAUUUUUGAAAAUAUAAGGUGAACAAAUUUAGAAUAUUAUUAAAUUUGGUUGGAGGCCUCUAAGGAAUUGAAACUCAAAUAUAAAUAAGAUAAAUUCGACAAUGAAAACAAUGAUACAAAUGUCAAGGCUCUUUGUACCAUCUUUAAUUGGGAGAGUCCUAAUGGGUUUCACAAGAUAGCAACAUAUAAACAUGUUACAAAGGCUUAGGAUCUUUUGCGUCACUCAUGAGGACACUUUUGCUGUGAAGUUUUCCAAAAUACAAAUAACUUUGGGAAUAUAAAAAAUAAGAAUAUGAAAUAUUUUUUUUUUUCUAUGAUGAGUUGAUUGAUAUUGUUGACUACUCUAGUUUCAAUGAUCUAGGGGGAAAAAAAGCUUGUAUCUAAGGUAGUUACAAUUUUUUUUUUACUCUAAAAUAUUUAAAGGACAUUGACAUUAUGAGAGUUAAUAAACUUGUAGGUUCCUCGACUUUUGAGAAUUCUAUACCUACUUCUAAGAAGUCUAAGGGUGUAGCCUUUAAAGUUAAUUUCUAUGAAUGAAGGUAACAAGUUUGAAGAACCUAACGAUAAAUGUUUAAUUUUUACUCAACUUUCUCUACUUGCUAAAAAGUUAAAGAAAACAACUCAAGCUCAUAAAAAAUAAAGACUCAGCAAAGAGAAAAAGGUUUAAAACUAAAGAAAAAGAAGAAAAAAAAGUGCAUUGUUUAUUUAUAAACAAAAAAAUCAAUGUUUUAAAAAUCGGAUCGGAUCGGUCGGUUCGAUUGGUCAAACCGUCGAUCGGUGACUUUUCCGAUUUGAUUCCUCCCUUUGGGCUGACUAUCAAUUGGACCGGUGGUGAACUGCUUAAGGCGAUGGUUGGACCAUGGGUAGGGCAAAGGGCUGAAGAAUCGACACAUUAAUUGCUUACCCUUCUUGCAAAAUGGGCUUCCUACUUAAGUACCAUGCUAUAAGGCCCACCAACCACUUGGCUUAAGCACUUGCUUCAAUUAGUUGAGAAGAGUUACUUUAUUUUUCCUCUCAUUUCCGAUAUGGGAUAAGGUAAAGGGAUUUAAAAGCAAAAAUCAACUUUGUUCUUGCCAACAAAGGGUUUGAACCAUGAACCACAAGCUCAUAAUGGUCAUAACCACUCCACCAUGUUGCAUCUUUGUUUGUAUUAAUUUUUAACAGAAAAUUACUACAUAGGCUAUUUCAAAAAAUAAUAUAUAUAUAUAUAUAUAUAUAUAUAUAUAUAUAUAUAUAUAUAUAUUACAUAUUUUUUUUUAUUUUCAAUUUUUUCACAUUUAAAUACGACUUUUUUUUUUACCAUUUUGAAUAUAUUUUCAUAUUUAAAUAUUAUAUAUAUUUUGUUUAAUAAAUUUAAACCAUUAAUACAUUUAUAUAAAAAUGAAUGAAUAAUAUUAUAAAUAUUAUUUAAUUUUUAAUUAUAUAUUUUAAAUAUUUUAUAAUUAUUUUUAAUUUUAAUAAAAUAUAAAAUAUAUAUUUAUGACAUCACCGGUUCGACCACGGUUCAACCAUCGAUCCGACCAGUGAACAGUGAACUGUUAACUUUUUCGGUUCAAUAUCCGGUACGGUUCUGAAAACAUUGAAAAAAAUAGAAUGUUCCAAUUGUAGGAGAGUAUGAUACAUGAUUUGUGAUCAUAUUCUCAAAAAUAUCAAGAAAGUUAUGCAAGCAAUUUGGAGUGAUAUUGAAUCUAGUGAUAAUGAGUUUGAGGACUCCUAUGAGAAUAAAGACAAUAAUAAUCUUGUUGUUUUUGUUGCUUGUUACAUUUAUAGUUCACUUUGAUUAUGAUUCUCUUAACAAAUUAAAUCAAAUUAUAAGGGUGAAUUUGAUUUCCAUAAUAUAGAUAUUACCUAGCUAUGAUGUAUUAUAUGAGGAAAGCUUAAAGAUGGAAGUCAAAAUGAGCACGUUUGAAAGUUUUAAUCAAACAUCCUUAAAAAUUGUCUUCAACAUUCAACAUAUAGCAUUUAAUAUUUGAACAUGUUUAAUAUAAAAUUAAAUCAUUUACAUUAAAAAUCUAAUUAAGAGUGAUUUUGAAAGACUUAAAAAUUAGGUUUGACAAAAAUUUUAAAAUCACAUAUAAAAAUUCCAAAAAUGGCUUGAAAUAAUUCUUGAAAAAUCACUUGCCGGCUGAUUUUGCUAAAAAGCAUUGUGAUUUUGAAAGAAUUAGAAAUUAGGUUUGACAAAAAUUUUAAAAUUUCAAAAAUGACUCGAAAUGAUUCUUGAAAAAUCACUUGAAAGCUGAUUUUGGGAAAAAUCAAUUUUUGAAAAACGCUACAAACUAAAACGUUUUAGUUGAAAUCACUCCCGACGUCGGCUGAAUGUCAUUUUCGAAUGAAGUAAUGGCACAAAUUAGUCCUCAAAGCGACAGGCUGCCUGUCGUGAAUCUCCUCAUCGCAUCAUUGUUUAACGAUUACCCACUACAACAAGUUGCAAGGGCAUGCGAAGGUCCUGCCCCAUAUAAUUGACCUUCAAUGCUUCAAAUUUUCAAAUUAGACUGACCGAGCAUGCUCACAUUCACAUAAACUGGCCUCUUCGUGUCUUUGUAGGAAUUUAAAUUCAUCAAUCACAAGUGGGCUAUAUAUAUAUGAUCUUCAUAUAAGUCCAUGAACUGAUUUUUAAGCUCUAAGAUCCACACAUUCUCCCUCACUUUUCUUCCUCAUUAAUCCUUCUACACCGCUAUUCCUCCACAGUAUAUUUAUGGAUGAAACUAAGAGCAGACAGAAAAAAGGUCUGAUGAAGAAGACAUGGGAGCAAUUCAAAUCUUUUGGUCAUGGGAGGAUUUUAUCAAGAACCCAUCAUUCUUCUAUGAAAAGCAAGUCAAGGCCUGGCCACACAGCCUCUCUUGAAGGCGUGAAGAAGGGGCGGGUUGCUCCAGAGGGCUGCUUCUCAGUGUACGUUGGACAUGGGAAACAAAGGUUUGUGGUCAAAACUGAGUAUGCCAACCAUCCUCUAUUCAGAGCACUCCUAGAAGAGGCUGAGCUAGAAUAUGGGUACAACAAUGGAGGGCCUCUUGUGCUUCCAUGUAAAGUGGAAAUUUUUCUUAAGGUGUUACUGGAAAUGGACAGUUCUGAUGAGGUUCAUCAAGGGUGCAGCUUUGCUAGGAGCCCUAGCUCCUAUCGCCUCCUCGGCCCAUCUCGGAUGAUCACCAUGAAUCAUCUAUGAAUUUACCAGAUUCAGAGUUUGUUUUUAUUUAUUCUACUAAUUUAUAUGAGAACAAAGAUCUCUUCAACAAAGGUUUUUAAUAGGUUUCUCCAUUAAUUUUUUACUUUUUAUCAUUAUUGAAAAUGAAAAAAAUAAAUAACAAAUAAAAACCCGAGUUCAAGGGAAAAGGAUUAAUGUAAUUUAACGUAGAUGAUUAGAUAGUCAAAACUAUUAAAAGAGUAUAAACUCUUCAGAUUAGUUUGCGUCUAUGAAUGAAUUUUAGGAUACAAGAAUCAUCUGUAUACUUUGAAAAGAGAUUGUCUUUCCCACAGACAGAUUCAAAAGUAGUUUGAAAUUAGAACUUUCUUUUAUAUAUAAAAAAUAAUAAUCAUGAAUAUCAUUUUCAUUCCCAAGUAUAUCAAGAUGCCAUAACACAAUGCCGUGUUUUAUCAUUUUCGAUCUAAUGACUUUAAAAUUACCCUUCCAACAAGUUAGAUAUAAUUAUAUAUGAUGGACCCAACCCCUAUAAGUAGAUCUUUAUGUUUUCCACCUUGCAAAUAGAUUGAGUACUUUUUGUUAGGAACAAGUGGGCAUUAUGUUGCUUAAUAUUAUCCAUUUUUGUGAUCCAAACGGAAACUAAUUAAUUGAAGGAUAGGUCCUUGUUUUUCUAAAGUUCUAUUGAUAUGUAAGUGAAUGCUUCUUUGGCAAUUAGAAUUGUUUGGAUAUGAAAAAAUUAUCAAAAUUUAAUUAAUUCAAGGACAAGUUAUGCUCUAUAAUACCUAAAAAAAUUUAACUUUUCCAAUUUAAUAGAAUUCAAAUUUCAAUGUCAUAUUAAUGUGGAAUAACCAAGGGGAUGAAAUCAUCCUCACUUUGGAAAACUAAUCCAUCAUCUUUAUUCAACCUAAAAAAAUGUCCAUUUUAAACAAAAAUACCCUCAUUUUUUUCUUGUAAAAGUAACCAUUUCUUUCAAAACACAUAUAUAAAUAAUAAAAAUAUUAAAAGAUAUUUAUGUAAAAAAAACUAGGUUACUCUUCAAGUUCAAAAGUGGGAAAUGUUAGUUUUUAUCCCUUUUAAUCAAUUAAUCCCAUUAAUUAAUAUUGACAAAUGUUAGUCCUUCUUCAUGGAUAUAUAUAUAAUAUUAUUGGAAAUAAUUUUUUUUUUCUUUUGAAUUAAGUGGUUAGAUUUAUUUAAAUAAAAAACAAACCAAGUUUAAACAAAAAGGACUAAUAUAAAUUAACGUAGAUGAUUAGAUAGUCAAAUUCUUAGGAAACCAUGAACUCUUUGAAUUUGCUCUUAUGAAUGGACUUUAGGAUUCAAGUACCAUCCAUUUACUUUAAAAGGAGAUUAGCUUUUUGAAAGCAAAUCAUGAAUAUCGUUUUCAUUUCCAAGUAUAUCAAGUUGCAAUAUAUAAAAUUUCAAAGUCUUAUCAUACCUCAACAAAACGUCAUGUUCUGUCAAUUUUUGGUCUAAUGCUUUUGGAAUUACUCUUUCAUUGGUAUCUUAACAAGUUGCAUAUGCUUGGGUUGGACCUUUGUGAACAUGACCUUGCAAAUGGAUUGAAUUUUUGUUAGAAACAAGUCUCUCACUCUCCAAAGCGGUCCCCUCUCCAUUGCAUAACUUAUUAGCAAAAUCCUUCAAAUUUUGUACUAUAUACAUACACACUCAUUUAUUGGGUUCUUUUAAAAUAGGUAUAUCAUAUUUUAAAAGUAUAUGGUUAAUUUGUUGUGUUGAAUAAAAUACAAAGAAAAUAAGUGUAGACCCCCAUUUGGGGCUCGUUUUUCAGCAACUCAAUUUUGCCAAGUGCCACUAUCCCGGGUGGCCACAUGUCGCCUCCUGGUUGGUUGCUGUGGAAUCAGCUUAGUGGAGUUGAUGGACGAAUGAGAAAGCGACACCUGUUGGAGAAUAUUCAUAAGAGCUUUUGGGCUGUUAGAGUGGAGUUUGGAUGAUUUUUUUUGAAGCGUGAGGGGGACCCCCCUCUCUUACCAUGAAUCCCGGCCAGAUGGGACAAGCAACCAGGAAGUUGAGGGCUUGAUUGCCGGCGGCAACAGACGUGCAGCAGCAAAGGGAGUGGUUGGUCAAACCAUGCUUGCUAACCAGUGAACAGGGGUAAGAAGGGAAAGAGUAAGGGGGGACACAAGAAAAAAGGAAAGCAAGAAGAGGAAGAACAGAAAGAGGGGACAGCAUUGUAGAGAGAGAAAAGGAGUAUGGGUGGAACUUGAAGAGAAAGCUAAGAACAAAGGAACGUAGAGUUGCUGAGAGGAGUCCAGGACAUAGAGCUGAGAAGAGAGAUUUCCAGGUAUGACCAUUUGUUUUUUUUUGUAUAUUUUCUUUUUUUUUUUUUCAGAUUGUCUAGAUUUAAUUCUCAGUGAUUUUUCAUUUCUACUUGUUGGGUUGUUCUGUUUUGGUGAUUACUGAUUAAAUAUUGGAAGAGUUUGCUAUGUUUUAUGCCCUCUUCUGACGAGUAUUUUUCCAUCUUAACUCACUGGAUGUUGGACCCAUGGACGAAAUGAUGAAAUGGGUCCGAUACGCCGGUUAAAGUCUUCAUGUUCUUCUUCUUGUUGCUAUCCUAUUAUCUCCUUGUUUUCUUUUCUUCCCUGAGUGCAUACUCAAGGCUCCCAAGUCUCAGUUGCUUUCCGUGAAGCUUCAAGCCAUGGCCUCAUUGUGGCUAGAAUCUGGGUUUUCAGUGAUGAUGAGAAUGGGUUUUUUCGGUUUUCUCCAAGCUUUCACAGUCAGCAAAUACCCAAGGUUGCAUACUACCAGGCAUAUUCGUCAGCUAGACGUGGAAGCGCAUCUGCUGGUGGCCUGCCCAUUGUGUUUAUGUCCAGGCACAUGUCUUCACUCUGCAUGACCCCUGUCUCUAUUCUCAUGCAGGUGUGUCGUCAUCUCAUCCCCAUGUUUUUUUUCCUUAUCCACCAUACCCAUCGUUUAUCUAUCCACUUCUCUCUCUCUCUAGGUCGUCAUACCCAUUUCCUCACUCAAGCUUGCAGGAAUCAAGCAUCCUCCACCACACCCAUUUUCCUCUCAUUCAUUAUCUGAAUGUAUCACAUCCAGAAUCCUGUCCGACUGACAUUCCACCUUAUCCGGAUGCCUCACAUCCGGAAUCCUGUCCGCUGACAUUCUAUCUUCUUCGGAUGCCUCACAUCCGGAAUCCUGUUCGGCCGACAUUCCACCUCCUCUGGAUGCCUCACAUCCGGAAUCCUGUCCGGUCAACAUUCCACCUCCUCCGGAUGUCUCACAUCUGGAAUCCUGUCCGCCGACAAUCCAUCUUAUCCGAAUGCCUCACAUCCGGAAUUCUGUCCUGCGCCAUCCCACCUUCUCCGGAUGUCUCUCAUCCGGAAUCUGUCUGCCGACAUUCCGCCUUAUUCGGAUACCUCACAUCCGGGAUCUAUUCGGCGCCAUCCCACCUUCUUCGGAUGUCUCUCAUCCGGAAUCUGUCCGCCGCCAUUCCCACCUUCUCCGGAUGUCUCUCAUCAGGAAUUUGUCCGCCUACAUUCCGCCUUAUCCGGAUCUCUCACAUCCGGGAUCUGUCCGACACCAUCCCAUCUUCUCCGGAUGUCUCUCAUCCGGAAUUUGUCCGCCGACAUCCCGCCUUCUCCGGAUGUCUCACAUCUGGAAUUCUGUCCGGCCGACGUUCCACCUUCUCUAGAUAUCUCGCAUCCGACGCCUGAUGCCGGAUGGGAGAGGAAGGCGAUUCAACUUCCCCCGUCAAACAUGUCUGGAUCCUUGUUUUAUAACUUCUUUUUUUAAACCAUUUCAAAGCAUCCUAUCUUUCAUCCUUAGAGUUUUUAAGAUUACCCAAGAGUCCCAUUUGCAAUAAAAUUUUGCUGCCAUCUUUCUUUCCGGCAAGCAAUUUUCACAACUCUUCUGUUUUUUUUUUAAAUGUUUUAAAAUAAGCAUAGAUUCAAUCAUGUAAUUCCGAAUAAUGGAGUUUAUGGAAUUAAUUCAUGCAAAAAUAAACGGGCUUUGGUGGGGGUCCCACAUAAGUGACUUUAUAAUUGAUUGAUUGAUUGAUUAAUUUAAUUGUCAUGCAUGAUUGAUCUUAUUCUUCUAUAUGACAUACUUGAAAUUAUUCCUUAAUUGUACACUAACCUCUCUCUUGAUAGUGCAUGGUGGCUCGUUGCCCAGGUACGCACCUACUUUCACUUUGGUAAUUGUCUAAGCAUAUUUUGAUUUUCACGUGUGCAUGAUUUAUUCUGGGUACUCAUUGAUUUACUCGUCCAUUGUCAUGAUCGCUUCAUUUUAUUAGUAAAGACCCGACUUUAGGGACUUAGAGGGGUGCUACGGUUUUUACCGUACCUUCCCGAUAAGUAACCUGACCCCCGAACCCGAUCCAGUUUUUCGUAGACCACCUUUUCCAAAAUAAGAAGUCACACUUAGGGUUUUUCUUUCUUAUUUUGUUUACCCUUUUAAAAAUAAAACAAAAAUAAGUGGCGACUCUAAGUCAUUUUUCUUAAUCAAUAAAAAUCAAUUUUCCAAAAUCAAAAGCGAGUUUCGCCAUCGAGUGGGAAAUGCAUUGAGCCGAAAUGCGGGGUCCACAAUAAGGUUAUUUGUUUUCGAGAAUAGUUUUUUGUUCUCCAAAAUAAAAAAAUAAAAAAACAUGUUUGAUAAUCAGAAAAUAUUUUUUUGUCUUCUAUUCUUAAGAACAAAAAAUAAGGUGUUUUUAAAUAAUAUCUUUCACUCAUUUUCACUUGUUUUUUAAGAAUUGUUUUAAAAAAUAAUUAUACAAAUAUAUAGAAUGAUUAAAUAUAAAAUACUAAAUAUAAAAUUAUUUUUAAAACAUAUUUAAAAACAUUAUAAAUAUGUUAAAAUAUUUCAAAUUCAUAAAUAGACUUUUAUUCUAUAAAACAUUAUAAAAUAAUUUUCAAAAAUUAUUCUCAAAAACUAUGUUUCAAAACUAUUUUCGAAAAUAGUUACCAAAUAAGAACUAAGAUUCAUAUAUAAAGAAAUUGGACAAACAUAUAAAGAUAUCAAAUGUAAGUGCAAUAAAUUAAGAAAAAAAAAAAGGAAGAAGAAGAAGAAGAAGAACUCGUAUAUAGCAAAAAGUAAAGGAAACCUUUUUUCACAAUGUGAUAUUCAUUAGUAAUUGGUCAACAUUUUUCUUUAUGGCAUCAAAAUGCUAUUUUUUUGGUACCAUAUCAUGACAUUUGAAUUAGAGAGCUACCAGCUAGUUUAUGUUUCAUGACUCGUGUGAGUGUAUAAUUAAUUUUAAAAGCUUGUACAUGCAAAAGUGUUCAAUAUAACCAAUGUACUAACUUAAUUUAAGUUAUCAAAUAUGUACAAUAAAAUAAUUUAAUAGAAUUAUUAAAAAUAAAAAAUAAAAAAUAAAUUACUCUUUCUAAAUCAUUAAAAAUAAAAAAUGGUGCCCACAAUACUUUAACCUCUUGACUUGUCAUCAACCCUCUAUCACAAUAGUCAACUAUUUUAAAUUAUUAAUUCUUUAUUGGAGGUCUAAUUAAUUAUUAAACUAUUAAUUCGAUAUGUUUGUCCCUAAAAAAUAUUAAGAAAAGAAAAAAAGCAUUAAGAAAAUUGGUUAUUUCAUAUUUGGUUUCAUUAUUAAAAAUAUAAAAGAAAAUCAAAUAUAAUUAAAAUUUAUUAAAAUUUUAUAUAUUUUUUAAUUAUUUAAUCUUUAUAUAAUAGAAGAAAAUAAAUAAAAUGAGUUUGAAGAAACAUAUAAAAAUAAUUUAUUAAUUUUAAAUUUAUUUUUUAUUUUUCUUCUAUUUUUCCACUUUAUUUUCUUUUCUUCACAUUUUUCAUAACCAAACAUAGUCUAAGAGAAUUUUUAUUUUUUUUCCUUAUUCACACAACCUUUUGUGUUUUUUUGAAGACUGAAAUUGCUCAAAAUCGACUAGUAAGGAAGAAAUCUCAAAAAGACAUUAAUUGUAAAUCCUUACUUAAUUUCCAAAUCUAAGAAAUGUAUUAAGGAAUAGUAUUCUUAAAUUUCCAACAGGGUUUUUAAUUAAGAUAUUAGAGAAUUAUUAUUAUUAUUAUUAAAUUACAUUAUAUAAUAAUAUACUUACAAGAUCAAUAUUAUCUUAUCUUAAGAACAAAAAGAGAGAGCAACUAAUUACAAAGAUGAGAGCCCUCGGAGUUCUCUCUUAUCACUCCUAGUAUUGUGCUAGUGGCUAAUUUUGAACCUUUGGUCUUUCGUGGGGAGCCACCACGGGCCUAGUGGCAUACUCUCCUCUAAAAUUUUAAAGAACGCCAAUUUGACACAACAAAAAGAUAUUUAAAAAAUAUUUUUAUUUUUAUUUUAAAAUUUAUUUAAUAUUUAUAAAAUUAAUUUUUUUUAAAUGCUAAUUUUUCACUAUAAAACAAAUGUUAACAAAAUAAUUUUUAUUUGAUUUUUUAUUAAAUAUUUUCUUAGCUGUGGGUAGUGUUUAUAUUUUUAGGUUUAAUCCAAUAGUCAUGAAUUUAUAAAUGAUUAUAUAAUUAUUUGAAUUAUAUGCUAUUUAAUAAUUAAAUUUAUUUCAUUUGACUUUGAGAUUUGAGGUUUAAUUGUGUAGUACUUUGAAGGCAAAUUUUAUGAUUUUAAAAAUAAAUUUCUCAAAUGCUUUGAAGGUAAAAAGGAAUGAUUAAGAGCAUUCCAUAGAUGUGAUUUUUUAUUUUUUAUUUUCAUUCUUUUUAAUCAUGUGAUAAUUUAUAUUUCAACUGGAAACUGACUGAAUGUCUGAGUUCACCGCCAGCAAGGGAAUUGAGGGGAGGGAGAGCCAAAUGCUCAGACAAGGAUGGAGUGAUGCCCUUCCGGCGUACCGGUUUACAGAGCCCAUGUAGAAAACGUAAACCCCUUUGGAUUUCCCAUUUCUGAUAUCCAUCUCAGGUGUGGCUGGUUCAGCUCUUCUGUCCUCAUAAACCCGAAAAUAUUCAAGCGUCUAUGCUACAACUACUGCCUUGUCAGGAAUGGGAGGCCCCUGGCUAGCGGUUCCAUGGUCGAAUUUGAGUUUGCCAACAGCUUCAGCUACCCCCUCUCUUUCUCUUCAAUAAGGUUAAUUUUACGAUUUUACUUGAAUUUUAGAAUACAUCGGAUAAUGAAUAUUUUAAAUAUCAAUAAAAUAAAAAUUAUUUUAAAUUUAUAAAUAAAAAUACAUAUAUUAAAAUUAUUUUAUAUAUGUAAUUGAUGUAAAUAUAAUUAAGAAGAAAAAUAUCAAUAAACAAAGAAAUAUCAAUCUUAAUAUAUAAUUUAUUAUUUAUUUAAUUAAAUUAAUUUUAAUUUAUAAAAUAUUAACUUCAUUAUUUUUUUACAUAUUUUAAUAUUUUUUUAAAUAAAUUUACAUUUUAAUAUUUUAAAAUAAAAACAUUCAAAAUUAGGAAGAUAAAUAUAAAAAAAUUAAAAGGGAAGUAAUAGUAAUAUUUAAAAUAAGAUUAAUGAAAUAAUUAUUAUAUAUUUAAUAUUAAAACUAUAUUUUAUUUAAUUUAAAUACAUUUAAUAAUAUAAAAUAAAUAAUUAUGCAUAUGAUUUUUUAAUUUUUAUAUUUUUAUAUUUAAUUAUCAUAUAAAUGAUAUAAAAAGACUUGUUAAGAAAAUUAUAAUGCUGGUUUUUAUACUUUUAUUAAUCAAUUAAAUAAAAUUUAAAAUAAAAUAAUUAAAAUUAAUUUAUUCUUCUAUUUUUUAAUAAUGAAGUUUAAGGUGUUCAGUGUGAACAUUUACUUACAAAAGUGAACUUGGUCUAGUGGUAGCCACACAGGGUUCAAAUCCCCCGCUGCAAGAAAAAUGUGAAGUUUGGCCAGAGUUGGAACCCCUUUCUACAAGAAAAAUGUGAAGGGGCUUGGCCCGCUUAGCUGCAAUAUAGGUGAUAUUUUAGAAAAAUUUUUGAAAAAUGGGUCGACCAAUUAUGUAGAAUGUCGUGUCAGCCCUCACCGAUAUUUUGACGAAAUUUCGCGAUAUUUUAAAUCAUGAUUGUAACACUAUGGCACCAUUGCAACUGUACUACCACAAAGGAAUAAUGUCUUGGGAAAUUUAUUUAUUUUUCUUAUUGUUAUAAAAUGAGAAAACAAAUUGAAUAAAGUACAUAAUUCUCUAGUAUUAACCAUGAAUACCAUAUUAAUUACAUGCUUUGACACAAGAAAUUAUGAGAUCAGGGGUGCUGGUUCUGAGGGCUGGUAGGAGGGGAUGGAGGGUAGUAGUAGGGAAUCCAAGUUCUGGGGUCUUCCCAGUUGAAUGCUGGAGGAGGAGGGUUUAGUGAAGGGAUGUAGGGUGUCCAAGUUUUGGGGUCUCCCAAGUUGAAUGCUGGAGGAGGAGGGUUUAGUGAAGGGAUGUAGGGUGUCCAAGUUUUGGGGUCUCCCAAGUUGAAUGCUGGUGGAGGAGGAGGGGUUAGUGAAGGGAUGUAGGGUGUCCAAGUUUUGGGGUCUCCCAAGUUGAAUGCUGGUGGGGGAGGGGGAGACAGGGAAGGUAUGUGUGGUAUCCACGUUCUGGGGUCUCCCCAGUUGAACGCAGGCGGAGGAGGGGGAGGAAGGGAGAGAGGUGGGGUUGGAGGGAAAGGGAAGGGUAGAGAUGGUGGUGUUUUGAAUGGUAAUGGAGGAAAUGGAAGUGAUGGAAAUGGGGGCAAUGGGGAAAAGGGAAAAGGCAAUGUUGGCAGAGGAGGUAGCCGAGGCAGAGGAGGUAGCCGAGGCAGAGGAGGUAGCUGAGGCAGAGGAGGUAGCUGAGGCAGAGGCGGUAGCUGAGGCAGAGGAGGUAGGGGAGGUAAAGAAGGCCAAGGGAAGCCAAAUGGUGGAAAGCAAGGCAGAAAGAAUUUUGCAGAAUUUAAGUCAUUUGGCAAUUCCUGUGUUUGAUCUCCACAAAUUGUGGUGUUCCUCUUGGAUGGUCUGUAGCUCAAAGCAUUCAAGUUGAAGAUGCAGAGGUUGUCCUGUUUUGAUUUCACCGAGAUGGCAUUAGUCGUCGUCUUCAAGCCAGGAACAUUGCAGGCUGAUGAUGAGCUCCCAAUCAACUUUGCCUGGCAAAGAGUCUGCAUUGUGUGACCUCCUAUGCAGUCAAUUCCAUCAACAGAUGGUAU